UACGUAGGGGGCAAGCGUUGUCCGGAUUUAUUGGGCGUAAAGAGCGUGUAGGCGGCCAGGUAGGUCCGCUGUGAAAACUCGAGGCUCAACCUCGAGAUGUCGGCGGAAACCAUCUGGCUAGAGUCCGGAAGAGGAGAGUGGAAUUCCUGGUGUAGCGGUAAAAUGCGCAGAUAUCAGGAAGAACACCCGUGGCGAAGGCGGCUCUCUGGGACGGUACUGACGCUGAGACGCGAAAGCGUGGGGAGCGAACAGG
rnacentral:rRNA from 1 species